rnacentral:rRNA from 1 species
GGUCAAGCGAACAAGUGCAUGUGGUGGAUGCCUUGGCGAUCACAGGCGAUGAAGGACGCGGUAGCCUGCGAAAAGCGGAGGGGAGCUGGCAAACGAGCUUUGAUCCUCCGAUAUCCGAAUGGGGAAACCCGGCCCGUAUGGGUCAUCCGUAACUGAAUACAUAGGUUACGUGAAGCGAACGCGGUGAACUGAAACAUCUAAGUAACCGCAGGAAAAGAAAUCAACCGAGAUUCCCAGAGUAGUGGCGAGCGAAAUGGGACCAGCCUGUACUCUUUAUCUUCAUUGUUAGUCGAAGGCUCUGGAAAGUGCCGCCAUAGCAGGUGAUAGCCCUGUAGACGAAAACAGCGAGGAAGAACUAGGUGUACGGAAAGUAGGGCGGGACACGUGAAAUCCUGUCUGAAGAUGGGGGGACCAUCCUCCAAGGCUAAAUACUCGUGAUCGACCGAUAGUGAACCAGUACCGUGAGGGAAAGGCGAAAAGAACCCCGGGAGGGGAGUGAAACAGAUCCUGAAACCGCAUGCAUACAAACAGUCGGAGCCUCUGCGAAGGGGUGACGGCGUACCUUUUGUAUAAUGGGUCAGCGACUUACAUUCAGUGGCAAGCUUAACCGAUUAGGGCAGGCGUAGCGAAAGCGAGUCCGAACAGGGCGAUUCAGUCGCUGGGUGUAGACCCGAAACCAGGUGAUCUAUCCAUGGCCAGGAUGAAGGUGCGGUAACACGUACUGGAGGUCCGAACCCACUAACGUUGAAAAGUUAGGGGAUGAGCUGUGGAUAGGGGUGAAAGGCUAAACAAACCUGGAAAUAGCUGGUUCUCUCCGAAAACUAUUUAGGUAGUGCCUCGUGUAUCACCUUCGGGGGUAGAGCACUGUCAUGGUUGUGGGGUCCAUUGCGGAUUACUACGCCAUAGCAAACUCCGAAUACCGAAGAGUGCAAUCACGGGAGACAGACAUCGGGUGCUAACGUCCGGUGUCAAGAGGGAAACAACCCAGACCGCCAGCUAAGGUCCCCAAAUAUUGCUAAGUGGGAAACGAAGUGGGAAGGCUAAAACAGUCAGGAGGUUGGCUUAGAAGCAGCCAUCCUUUAAAGAAAGCGUAAUAGCUCACUGAUCGAGUCGUCCUGCGCGGAAGAUGUAACGGGGCUAAGCAAUAUACCGAAGCUGCGGAUGCACAUUUAUGUGCAUGGUAGGAGAGCGUUCCGUAAGCCUGCGAAGGUGCAUUGAAAAGUGUGCUGGAGGUAUCGGAAGUGCGAAUGCUGACAUGAGUAGCGAUAAAGGGGGUGAAAGGCCCCCUCGCCGUAAGCCCAAGGUUUCCUACGCAACGUUCAUCGGCGUAGGGUGAGUCGGCCCCUAAGGCGAGGCAGAAAUGCGUAGCUGAUGGGAAGCAGGUUAAUAUUCCUGCACCAUUGUUAAAUGCGAUGGGGGGACGGAUCGCGGAAGGUUGUCCGGGUGUUGGAAGUCCCGGUCCUUGCAUUGGAGAAGGCGCUCAGGCAAAUCCGGGCGCGGAAUUCAAGGGUGCGAGGCCAUUCACUUAGGUGAAGAAGCAAUCGGAAGUGGUUCCAAGAAAAGCCUCUAAGCUUCAGUUUAACAGGACCGUACCGCAAACCGACACAGGUGGGCGAGAUGAGUAUUCUAAGGCGCUUGAGAGAACUCGGGAGAAGGAACUCGGCAAAUUGGUACCGUAACUUCGGGAUAAGGUACGCCCCUGUAGCUUGAUGCCCCUGCGGGCAGAGGGUGAAGGGGUUGCAAUAAACUGGUGGCUGCGACUGUUUAAUAAAAACACAGCACUCUGCAAACACGAAAGUGGACGUAUAGGGUGUGACGCCUGCCCGGUGCCGGAAGAUUAAAUGAUGGGGUGCAAGCUCUUGAUUGAAGUCCCGGUAAACGGCGGCCGUAACUAUAACGGUCCUAAGGUAGCGAAAUUCCUUGUCGGGUAAGUUCCGACCUGCACGAAUGGCGUAACGAUGGCCACACUGUCUCCUCCCGAGACUCAGCGAAGUUGAAGUGUUUGUGAUGAUGCAAUCUCCCCGCGGCUAGACGGAAAGACCCCAUGAACCUUUACUGUAGCUUUGCAUUGGACUUUGAACCGAUCUGUGUAGGAUAGGUGGGAGGCUAUGAAGCGUGGACGCCAGUCUGCGUGGAGCCGUCCUUGAAAUACCACCCUGGUUUGUUUGAGGUUCUAACCUUGGUCCGUAAUCCGGAUCGGGGACAGUGCAUGGUAGGCAGUUUGACUGGGGCGGUCUCCUCCCAAAGUGUAACGGAGGAGUACGAAGGUACGCUAGGUACGGUCGGAAAUCGUGCUGAUAGUGCAAUGGCAUAAGCGUGCUUAACUGCGAGACCGACAAGUCGAGCAGGUGCGAAAGCAGGUCAUAGUGAUCCGGUGGUUCUGUAUGGAAGGGCCAUCGCUCAACGGAUAAAAGGUACUCUGGGGAUAACAGGCUGAUACCGCCCAAGAGUUCAUAUCGACGGCGGUGUUUGGCACCUCGAUGUCGGCUCAUCUCAUCCUGGGGCUGUAGCCGGUCCCAAGGGUAUGGCUGUUCGCCAUUUAAAGAGGUACGUGAGCUGGGUUUAAAACGUCGUGAGACAGUUUGGUCCCUAUCUGCCGUGGGCGCUGGAUAUUUGAAGGGGGCUGCUCCUAGUACGAGAGGACCGGAGUGGACGAACCUCUGGUGUACCGGUUGUCACGCCAGUGGCAUCGCCGGGUAGCUAUGUUCGGAAGAGAUAACCGCUGAAAGCAUCUAAGCGGGAAACUCGCCUUAAGAUGAGAUAUCCCCGGGGCUUCGAGCCCCUUGAAGGGUCGUUCAAGACCAGGACGUUGAUAGGUCAGGUGUGGAAGCGCAGUAAUGCGUUAAGCUAACUGAUACUAAUUGCCCGUAAGGCUUGAUCCU